UACGUAGGAGGCAAGCGUUGUCCGGAAUUACUGGGCGUAAAGCGCGUGUAGGUGGUGGGACAAGUCUGCUGUGAAAGCGCCUGGCUUAACCGGGCGAGGUCGGCGGAAACUGUCCGACUCGAGGACGGUAGAGGGGGGUGGAAUUCCCGGUGUAGUGGUGAAAUGCGUAGAUAUGACAUAGAACACCAAUUGCGAAGGCAGCUGGCUACACAAAUAUUGACGCUGAUGCACGAAAGCGUGGGGAUCAAACAGG
rnacentral:rRNA from 1 species